UACGUAGGGGGCAAGCGUUGUCCGGAUUUAUUGGGCGUAAAGAGCUCGUAGGUGGUUCGGUAAGUCGGAUGUGAAAUCUCCAGGCUCAACCUGGAGGGUCAUUCGAUACUGCCGUGACUAGAGUUCGGUAGGGGAGUGUGGAAUUCCUGGUGGAGCGGUGAAAUGCGCAGAUAUCAGGAGGAACACCCGUAGCGAAGGCGGCACUCUGGGCCGAUACUGACACUGAGGAGCGAAAGCGUGGGGAGCGAACAGG
rnacentral:rRNA from 1 species